UUUAUCUCUCUUGCUCUCUCUCCCACUCACAAAGUCACAAACACACACAACCCUAAACCCUCCAAGAAUCAGCAAAAUUUCAAGCUGGAAAUACAUAUUUCAUACCCCAAGAACACCUAAUCAUAUCUAAAUCUUACCCAAGAGAAUCAACUACCACCACCAGCAUCCAUCUCACCGCCGUAGAUGGCCUGGUAAAUGUUAAUUCCCUCUUUACUGUAGCAGUCUUUGUGGGUCUCUCAUUGAUGACUCCCGGUCAGCACAGCCUCAAAAACAUAUCGACGUGGCUGAGAAACUCCAUUUUCGAGGUCGUGUCUUUCAGCUUCUUUCUAUUUUCUUCUCUAGCGGCCCAAGGCCUUAAUUGGCCAUUAAUUUGUUGAAUAGCAAGGAUGUGGAUGAGAUCUUUAGGUCCCAUAUAAAUUUGAAGGUGUUAAGGUUUGGGAUGUUGGCCUCCGUCAUUGGUUCUAUGAUGGGGUGCCUGUUUUCUAUGCUGUCAACAGUAAAUGUGAUCCAUAUUAGUUUGGAGAUGUUAUCUUGUGGGAGUAAGUCGGCUGUGCACUCUGUGGCGGCACUGGCGGUUCUGAUGACCUUUGCACUUGCUGUUUAGAUUUCCACUAUUGUUCAAAAUUAUCUAAGUCUAUGCAUUGAAUUAAAAUUUUCAAAAUUAUCUAAGUCUAUGCAUUGUUAAAAUGUGCUGAGAUUUGGAUUAAUGUCAACUUACCUGGAGGAUUUGAAGUUCUUUGUAUGAUUAGCUAGAGAAAGUUUUGGUUUUAUCAAUUUUCACUGUUAUCCAAGGCAUAAUAUAACGUGUACUGUGUAUAGGUCAUUUUAUAUUGAAUUUUUGGCCAUAAGAUCAACUGAAAAUAUAGAAAAAAAGAAAAAAGAAAAGGAAAUGUAGAUUAAUUUUUUAGGCUACGGUUUGGCACCUGAAGCAGGAAAUUAAUCUAGUAAUAUAGGAUUGAAGAAAUUAGCCAGAAAUCGAUGAAUGAUUAGGUUAAGCAUAUAAGUUUUGUAAAAAUGAUUGAAAUGCUCCAAGGGAUUUUGUUAUUUUAGUUAAUAGUUGCAAAUGAUUUUUGUGUAGGUUGUUAUACAAGAAUGGAGUUUUUGUCGAGGAACUUGGAAGAAGAAUUUUCAUCAUUAGACCAGGGCAUUAGGCUUUAAAUCUAUGAACAGAAAGAAAAAUAAAUUUCAAGUUGCCCUUCCAGAACACAUCCCAAAGUUGAAGCAGUGAUCAGCCAAAGUUUCAUUAUACCAUGUUAAUAGCAAGGUUUUACACACAAGGACAGGAUCUAUACUAAAGGCAAACUCGUGUCAAAUAUUGCUGAGAAGAAAAUUAGGGAGGCCGAUGAGGUGGUUUUACUCACUACUUAGUUUUUUUUUUUUUUUUUUGGAAAAUGUAUUGAAUUUUUAGGUGUUUUAGAAUUUUGGAUCUAGAUUUUGUACGAAUAUUGUUACAUUUGGAGUUCAAUUAAUAAUAAUUAUUGUAGUUAU